CAGGGAGACAACAAAAUGUUAAAUAUUAAUUUUGUCACCUUAGGUCGAUCGGUACCUCACAUUCUUAAUUUAUUAAGGAUUUCCUUUCCUAAGUUUUUCUAGGUCACACCCAUUACUUUUCCUGGGCCAUUAGCUCAGGUGGUUAGAGCGCACCCCUGAUAAGGGUGAGGUCCCUGGUUCAAGUCCAGGAUGGCCCAUCAUCUCUCUAUGUUGGGGGUAUAGCUCAGUUGGUAGAGCGCCUGCUUUGCAAGCAGGAUGUCAGCGGUUCGAGUCCGCUUACCUCCACUGAUCACCACCUCUUCCAUAUUUUUAGAAGGGAAUCGUAUUGUGUUGUGAUCAAAUUCUGAACGAAUCUAGCUUCCUAAUUAAUCCAUUAAGAUGCUGGACUCAUUGAAUUAAUUUCAUUGUUUUCAGAGAACCUUGACAACUGCAUAGAUUAUUUUUAAAGACAAUAAGCAUCUUUAAUGAUGCAGAUUUAUUAUUUGUGCGAAUGCAUUAAUAACAAUUCUAUUUAAGCUGAUGCUUCAAUUACGAAGUUAUU
rnacentral:tRNA from 1 species